rnacentral:lncRNA from 1 species
AGAAGAAGAAAUGGUGCUCAUUUUUUAAGACCAGAACAUCGAAAGUGUCUCCAUUCAACUGCCUUGAAACUUGCCUGAACCGUGGUUCUCUGUUUUCUCCUCCAUGUCUGGUUUUUGCCCAAGGGAAGACCACAAUUUGGGAUAACCUCUGCUCUCCAACAGACUUGUCAUGUGUGGGGAUGGUAUCUCUGAGCUUGUGCCUCUGUAAGGCCACGCACUCUACUGUGCUGAGUCCAAGAGAAGACUUCCAAGUGAUUGCCAGUGUGCUUGCUGCUACUUCUGUGCUAGAAGUUUCCACUGAGGAUUGAGAGUGAU